GGUUCUUCAUGAACAUAUUCAGAGACUGUCUAAAGUAGUAACUGCAAACCACAGAGCUCUUCAGAUACCAGAGGUUUAUCUUCGGGAGGCUCCGUGGCCAUCUGCUCAGUCAGAAAUCAGGACGAUAAGUGCUUACAAGACCCCCCGGGACAAAGUGCAGUGCAUCCUGAGAAUGUGCUCCACGAUCAUGAACCUGCUGAGCCUGGCCAACGAGGACUCCGUCCCAGGAGCGGAUGACUUUGUCCCCGUGUUGGUGUUUGUGUUGAUAAAGGCAAAUCCACCCUGUUUGCUGUCUACUGUUCAGUAUAUCAGCAGCUUUUAUGCCAGCUGCCUGUCUGGAGAGGAGUCCUAUUGGUGGAUGCAGUUCACAGCAGCAGUGGAAUUCAUUAAAACCAUCGAUGACCGAAAGUGACCAAGACCAAGGCCCACCAAGGCAGCAGACUGUUCGGAGGGCAAACAGAUCUCUUGGAAAAUGUACCAGCUGCUUUGAAGGCUGACACUUGUUUUUGUAUGAUACUGUACAGCAUUCAGACAUUUUAAAACAGAUCUUUACUAAACAGAUUAAUGAGCUAACAAGCAGGUUCUCUUUUCUUUGGGCUCUUUUCCUUUCUGAGUUGCAUCUUUUAUUUUCUUGUCCCCAUGUGGAGAAGAGUACUGCAAAAAGGGACCACAUUUUUCAGGUAUUUUGAAAUACUAAAAACAAAACAAAAUCUUCUAGAAAAUUCUUAGAUCUCCAUUUAUGGAUACCCAUUCUUUCUUUUCAUUAAAAAAAAAAAAAAAAAGCAGUACACCUCUUUGAAGAUGCUGUCUAAUCUUAUAUGCAUCUGAUGGAAGGAAAAUACCAGUUGCACUGAGGAUUGUGAUAGUGGUGACAUUAGUGGCAUUAUCUAUAAAUACACUCACCUAAAUCGAAAAGCUAAGAAGGAAAUGUAAAUAUAAUAUAUAUUUAUAUUUGAUGUAAUAUGGACAUUCUUCAGAUUCUAAUAAACAAGGACUAUUGCUGAUAGUGGGUUGUAAUGUACCCUCUUGUGGGAUGGUUUCCUUGACAAAAUUUAAGCUGCGCUUAAAAGCAAAAGGCAAACAAAUAUGCAGAAGUAUUUAUUAAAGUGUAAUGCAGUUUAUUGAAGUUUCUAGGUGUAGAGUUUGAUGCACAGGACUGCCUUUGAUGAGGGGCAUAAAGAUCACAGAGUAGGUCACUUGGGCGUUUCUCACCUCGGACGUCUUUGAGCCCGCAGUAGGACAGAGGGUCUUUCAUCGCCAUGUAUUACGUACGAAGCAACAGUAGAUGCCCGAUGCGUUCUUGUGGUACUUCUCAGCUGGAUAUAGUGUAGAAACCCCAGACGGAACUCCUUAUAAACCUUUAAUAUAUUUUUGAUGAUGAUUCACAUUGAAUGCACAGACCAGGAAUUCAGUGAAUGUAAUUUUUAAAAAUCUAAUUUGUAUUGUCUGCUCUAGUGAUAUGUGUUUUCCUAGUGAUAAACUAUUUUAAUCAACCCUACUCUUCUUAUGGAAAAAAAAAAUCUAUUUUGGCAGGUUUCCGUGCCUUUGUUUCCCUCUUCUGAACAAAGAUACGUGUUUCUGUAUUUUGGGUUGAUUGUGUGUUGAUAAUGAAUCAGCAAGGGGGUUUUGGUGUCUCAGAAACUGGCCAAGGAGGCCCCAUCAAAGCUUCAAGCACAAGUGUUGUACAUUGGUCAUCACUGACUGGGUUCAUUUUGUAUGUUUCCUAAACAUGUUUAGCUUCUUUUAUAAAACUUGGUCCCGUACUUUGAGUCUUCCUGUUGCUGGCAGCAUUUCCAGGCAUUUUUAAGGGACCUGUGACCAGCGGCCUGGAGCAGAGGCUGUCUCCUCUCUCUCUCUCUCUCCAGGAAUCUUGCUCCAUUGUGUCUGAAGAAGCUGGGUUUUCUUUAUGCCUCGACCUCUUCUCGUUCCUUUAUUCUAAAAUACUGAUUGCAAGUUGCAUAGGAGCGUGGGAUGUGGUUUCUGCCUUUUAGGAGGAGAUCAGAAUUAAGCUAAAUGUCCUUUUGAACGGUAGGUCAAGAAAUCUGUGUACAGAGUCAUGUGCUUCGUGGGCUGGAACUGUCAAGCUUGUCUAGGUCUCAGAAAGUCAAAUCCCAUGGUAAAUACUUUACAAGUCAAACAAGCCAUCUGACACGAUUUCGAAGGCCUGGAGGGAGUUCGGCAUUUGAGUCAGUAAAUGUUAAUCGAAGACUUGGAAUAGAUGAAACUCAUUGUUUUGGGAUUAACUCUUAAGUCUUAGGGAGAAAUUGUUUUCCCUCAGGAUGGUCACCACAUCUUUUCCGUCUUGCGGAAAUACGCACAAAGAUGUGGACAUCACACACGGAGGGGAAGGUGGUGACCUGGGGGUGCAGGGCUACACUGGCGGCAGGAGACGGGCCUCUGCAGUGCUUGAGGCAGUGGUGAGGGCAGAAACCCAGAGAUUUGGCGUCAGCGAUACAUCUCUGCAUCGGAGGCAGGUGCUCGAGGCUUGACUCGGGUGCUGGCGGAGACGCAUGGCCCAGCUGCUGAUGGUUCAGCUCUUUUCCUCUGGAAACCUGUCAGCAGUAAGGACGACUUCAGCAUUAACCAUCACUGGUUUGAUUUCAUGACAGGGUUUUAUUAUAGUGUUGAAUUCCGAAUUGAGGAAUUGCUAACUAUCUGCAUGGCAUGGUGGAGGUGUGAGAUAGUAGUAACUUGAUUUUGCUCUUUCAGGAAAGAGGAGUAGUUGUUCCUCGGGUGUUUGGUACCACAGUUCCCUCCAGUAACUAACUUUAUGUGAAGAAUUAGUGCAAAAGUACAAAAUCACACACAGGAGACAUUUGGUAGCUUCCAAUUAUUACAUGAAAUUUAUAAGGAUAACGGAUGUUAAAUGGGGAGCCGGUGGCUCAAUUCACUGAAAUCUUGUAGAAUUAACUAAUGAAAAAUCAGUUUAUAUUUUGUGUUAAUAUUCUACUUCUGGAGGCAGUUAAGUAAUAUAAAUACUGAUGGAAGAUUGUCUUCCCUUGUAAAAUUAGUAUUUUUUUAAAUCUAGUAAGCAUCGUGUUUUCUUUCUCUACUUUAGGUCAAAUCUCAGCCAGUUACUGCUUUUGCUGCUUUUUCUUUUUAAAAAACCUGCUUAUGGGAAGUUCCUGUUGUGGCUCAGUGGGUUACAAACCCAACUAGUGUCCAUGAGGAUGCGGGUUCAAUCCCUGGCCUUGCUCAGUGGAAUAAGGAUCUAGCAUUGCCGUGAGCUGUGGUGUAGGUUGCAGAUGUGGCUCAGAUCUGCGUGGCUGUGGCUGUGGCCGGCAGCUGCAGCUCUGAUUCAGCCCCUUGUCUGGGAACCUCCAUGUGCCAUGGGUGUGACCCUAAAAAGACCAAAAAAAAAAAAAAAAAAACCCAAAAAACACCUGCUUAUGAAAGCCUUUUUAAUGCAGCUAUUAAAUUGCUUUAAAAGGAUUAGACUUCAUGAAUGAUUGGAAAUAGAUGUCAGGAGUUCCCUUUUGGCACAGCAGGUUAAGGAUCAGGCAUUGUCACUGCAGCAGCUUGGGGCAAUGCUGUGGUGCAGGUUCGAUCCCUGGCCUGGAAACUUCCACAAGCCAUGAGUGCGCCGCCCCCCCCCGCAAAAGAAAUGUGGAUGUGGUGCAUGGUUUCUCUUUUCCUGUUGUAUCCUGGAAGCCUUUGUUUAACAUAGACUUUGAACACACGUGUCCUGAGGUUCAUAAGCAAGAGAACAUAAACCCUCGCAGACAGUCACAAGGCCAUGUUCCGGCCAUAAGGAGCAGUAACUGACUGUGCAAGCCGGUUGAUGCUGUUUUCCUAUUACCUGCAUAGCCAUUCCAGUUUGGGCCAAGGGAAGGUCAAUAUUGUGAAGCUUUAACAAUUCCUUUCUCUGAUGCGAUUGGGGGUGAAAUGGAAAGUAGGGAUGCACUUGCUCCGACUUGUUAGCGGAGGCAUAGAGGUGAUGGAAACGGUCGUGGAGUUUGCUUGCUCCGUUUGCGUGUUUGCGGCUUUCCCCUCUCCAUCCCUGCUUUCUUUCUUUAGGAAAAGUCUGCCCUCUUUUUAGUUCUUCUAACUCUAGUGAGUUUAUUCUGUAUGUAAUUGCUGACUUUGGGGAUAUACAUUAAAAAGAAUCUUAUCAGAGUUCCCACUGUGGCUCAGCGGGUUGGGCACCUGACAUAGUGUCUGUGAGGCUGCGGGUUCGAUCCUUGGCCUCACUUAGUGGGUUGGUGUUGCCGCAAGCUGCACCAUAGGUCACAGAGAUGUGGCUUGGAUCCGGCACUGCUGUGGUUGUGGUGUAGGAUGGUAGCUUCGACUUGAAUUCCACCCCUAGCCCAGGAACUUUCAUAUGCCACAGGUGCAACUG
rnacentral:lncRNA from 1 species